GACGAACGCUGGCGGCGUGCUUAACACAUGCAAGUCGAGCGGUGCGGCGAACGGGCGAGUAACGCGUGAGUAACUGCCCCCCUCCCUGGGAUAACAGUUGGCAACGGCUGCUAAUACCGGAUAGUGGGGGAUGGCGCGCGUCCUAUCUGCUUGUUUGUGGGGUAGUGGCCUACCAAGGCGACGACGGGUAGCCGGCCUGAGAGGGCGAACGGCCACAAUGGGCUAAGAUACGGCCCAAACUGCUACGGGGGGCAGCAGGGGGGAAUAUUGCACAAUGGGGGAAACCCUGAUGCAGCGACGCCGCGGGCGGGAUGACGGCCUUCGGGUUGUAAACCGCUUUCAGCCAUGACGCGGUAGUGGCAGAAGAAGCACCGGCUAACUACGUGCCAGCAGCCGCGGUAAUAC
rnacentral:rRNA from 1 species